GUGACACGGGCAAAAACAGACGGCAGGCAGCGGCGCAGAUCGGCGAGCAAAGUGAUGCUAACGACAACAACUAAGCACACCCGAGUAGGAAGAAGAAGUGCGCUUUGAGGGGAAGAGGAAGCUGUCGUCACAGUCAGAGGAAGUAGGGCCUCCCUGCCCGACGAAUGGGGUGGAGGCAUCGACGACUGCGGCUUCCUGUUGGACACGCACCGCAUGUGCGCCUUAAGGACGACCGAGGUCGCGUCACAUGAGCUUCGGUUGAAACACACGCGCACAGAAAGGCGCUUCAGACUUUGGUGGCGGACUGGCCUUGAGUGUGACGUGACUCACAAAAGCCUCGUUGAAGAACAACAACACUGUGAUAUCAUUCCAAACCCCGCCCC